rnacentral:misc_RNA from 1 species
CUGGGACUUAGAGUCAAGUCAUGGCGAUCACUUCACAAUGCAGAUCUUGAUGAUGGAGGCGACACUGAUACAGUGGAUAGCCAUGAUGGCAUCAUCAGGCUUGCAUUGCAAAGCUGGUUUUGCACGACCGACUUCAACGCAUCCUCCAGGAUCACCUCCGUCGACUCUGAGUCUGUAGCCUUUGCAGAGCCCUCACUGAGGAGGGGAAUGAGACAUCUGUACAAAUGGAAUAGGGUGCACGAGGAAGGGACAAGGUCCUCCACCGUCGUUGUGCCGAUGCUGCAGACCUCACCCCUUCGGCAGGACCAACAGGAAGCCUUCGUCUAUGCAUGGGGCAAUGCGCAGCGGGGGUCGAGGGUGGGUGCUGGGGGCGUACGGCUGGAGGAUGCAAGGGCGCGUGUGAGUGAGACAAAGUCGCCGAGGGUCAGCGGCGGUUGUGGCGUCGAUGCGGCGGGAGACUAUGAUGGCGUGAACGAGGCGCUGCGGGGUGGCAUUGGGGGAUGCGCGCGGGUCGGCGGAGGGUGCGGCGUCUGGGAUGUUUCUAAAGAGCAGUUUGCUGCUGAAAGUCUCUUUCCACCGGGCGACAUGGAAAAUACCACUCAAGUUGUGCUGGAGACUCAUGCUGCUGCCAAUUCCAAGGUAAAUGCUCCAUAUGUCUCAGAUUUUUGCUGA